CACGUAGGGGGCAAGCGUUGUCCGGAUUUAUUGGGCGUAAAGAGCUCGUAGGCGGCUCAGUAAGUCAGGUGUGAAACCUCCAGGCUCAACCUGGAGACGCCACCUGAUACUGCUGUGGCUAGAGUCCGGUAGGGGAGCGUGGAAUUCCUGGUGUAGCGGUGAAAUGCGCAGAUAUCAGGAGGAACACCGCGGUGAAAGGCGG
rnacentral:rRNA from 1 species